rnacentral:rRNA from 1 species
GACGAACGCUGGCGGCGUGCCUAAUACAUGCAAGUCGAACGCAGUGGGGACGGGUGAGUAACACGUGGGUAACCUCCCAUCAGAGGGGAGCACACUUGGAAACAGGUGAUAAAACCGAUACUGAUGGAUGGACCCGCGGUGCAUUAGCUAGUUGGGGAGGUAACGGAUCACCAAGGCCACGAGGCAUAGCCGACCUGAGAGGGUGAUCUGGCAGUCGGGGACUCAGACACGGCCCAGACUCCUACGGGAGGCAGCAGUAGGGAAUCUUCGGCAAUGGACGAAAGUCUGACCGAGCAACGCCGCGUGAGUGAAGAAGGUUUUCGGAUCGUAAAACUCUGUUGUUAGAGAAGCGGUAUCUAACCAGAAAGCCACGGCUAACUACGUGCCAGCAGCCGCGGUAAUAC